rnacentral:rRNA from 1 species
AGAGUUUGAUCCUGGCUCAGGAUGAACGCUAGCUACAGGCUUAACACAUGCAAGUCGAGGGGCAGCAUCAUCAAAGCUUGCUUUGAUGGAUGGCGACCGGCGCACGGGUGAGUAACACGUAUCCAACCUGCCGACAACACUGGGAUAGCCUUUCGAAAGAAAGAUUAAUACCGGAUGGCAUAGUUUCCCGUCAUGGGAUGAUUAUUAAAGAAUUUCGGUUGUCGAUGGGGAUGCGUUCCAUUAGGCAGCUGGCGGGGUAACGGCCCACCAAACCAACGAUGGAUAGGGGUUCUGAGAGGAAGGUCCCCCACAUUGGAACUGAGACACGGUCCAAACUCCUACGGGAGGCAGCA